GGUAGUAAAAGUCGUAACAAGGUUUCCGUAGGUGAACCUGCGGAAGGAUCAUUAAUGAGUUGUCAUGGGGUUCGAUGCUGGCAGCCAGUUUUUGGAUGCAUGUGCUUGCCCUAACAAUCAUCUUCUUCCAAACACCUGUGCACAUUUUUGAGGGAGUCUUGAGUUGGUUGCCGCUCUUGGGUGAUUUCCUCACAUUCCCUUAAAUCAUUAUACGCUAUUAACAAUGUUGAACGUGCUCUGUGCCGCAAGGCCAUUAAUAUAAUACAACUUUUAACAACGGAUCUCUUGGCUCUC
rnacentral:misc_RNA from 1 species